ACUAUGGCUUCAACAACAUCUGGAUGGCAGUGCCCACAACAAACUGUUGCAAUGCCACCGAAAGCAUCCAGGUAACGACGGCCAUCCUCAUCAAAUAGGUACUGCAUCUUUCCUUCGACUAUGUUCAACUGCAAUAAAUAUCACAUUAUUAAAUGAUCAGCUGAAAUGCAAUAUUGCUGUGGCACUGACGAUGACUUUAGGGGGUGUUUGGGAGUGAAGUUUUUUCACAGUUUUGGAAGAAUACUGCAGUAUUCUCAAAUACUGCAGUAUUAUAUACAGAAUGGUGUUUGGCAAGCUGGCUAAAAUCUCUGUUUUCAAAACUGAAGUAUUGCAAAUACUAUAGUUGUUUUAAGGUAUUCUAAACUUAGGUCUGGACCUUAGUUUCCAAAAUUGUGGUAUUGUAAACUGCGGUAUUGUCAUGACUAAAGUAUACUGUAGUAUUUCAAAAACUGUAGUUUUCAAAACUUUGUUCCCAAACAGGGCCUUAGCUUGUAUUGCUUGGUUGGAAAACUAAUACUACUUGAUUGGGUUCACCAUACUACAGGAGGCACUCAGAAGAUCUCAUAUAUUAAGUAAUUACAGAAUGAUAACAUGCACUGGUUACUUUGCUGUUUGCUUCAUUUCAGAGAUGCAAAUGAAUCUCAUAAUGCUAGCGUUUUUCCUCUUCCUUUGUGCCAACUUCUAUCAAAUUAUAUAAGUAUAUAUCCUUCAACAUUAUUUUUUAAUGGGACGGGAGUCAGUAAGUUAGGUACACGGUAAGUACUGUCUCCAGAAAUCCAAUCUUGACCUUGUUUAUGUACUUUGGCAAUGCGCAAAAAAAAUGCUGUGAUGUCAGUAACCAUGUAUAUUCUGACAAACAAAGAAAAAGUGGCGCAGCUACAUAUAUUUGAGAUCUAAGAGGGCACAAAAAAUGGUUGCGGAAAUUAGAGAGUUGUUAUAUUUCAGGUGCCCACCUGAAAUAUAGUAUGUUUUCAGAUAAUAAUCUUCACUGUUAGUUCAUGAGCAUGUAAAGCUGAGCAUCUUAAUACAGGAAAAAAAAACAAGCAAAAAGAUGGAUACAGUAUCUUUUGAAGAGAAGAUAGAAAUCAGGCAUCUGACCAUUAGUAAAAAUGUGGAAAUUAAUCAGUACAGCCUAGAUUGUCUACAAGUUUGCAGGCAAAACUGGGCAGCCACGUCAUUGCAAUUUGCAACAACCCAGGAAAAGCCUGUCACUUAUUCAUUUGUCAACCCAUCCGGCAUGUUCAUUUGGCAAAAGGAUCUACUAGUCACUGAAAAAAAAACAAUACUCCUGCUGUCGACACUCGACAGCUUGUGGUACUGGUAUUACAAGUUUCUUUUAUUGGUUCACUUAAGACUCCUGUUCGAGUCAUACUACUGCCUGCAAUACAGAAUUUGCGGCUGCUGAGUGCCGACAUUUUAUUGGGUUCUGACACAGAUCUUGGUUGCAUACUUUUGUAUAUUUAUCUCAGAUCUCACUUUACUUCAGAUAAGAACAGAGCACAUGCAGUAUCAGCAAUCCUAUCAAACCUCUCGGAAAACGACAAAGAUCACUGCUGCUCUGUGCCAAAUGACUACCAAGAAGACCCCAUUUCUCAAAACAAUAAACAAAAAAUGUUUUAAUUACAAAAAAUGCUAGUAGUUCGAUUCUUCGUAUUUUAACUGAUCACCAGGGCGACAAUCGGUGCAGUUUUUACCGAAAAAAAUAUUGAAAUCCGAAGGUAAUUUACAGUUUUUUUUGUUUUUCUUUUUGGUCGUAGCAGUAUAUUCCUUCCCACAGAACUGAAGACUGGAGUGGCGAUGGGGGAGCGGCACACGUACUGGGCGAUCGUAGAAAUGAAAAAGGGAUGGGCUGAGGAACUGAGCGCGCUUCCGGAAGAUCUCCUCGGCGCGCGGCCCGUCGUACGGCGGCGGCGUGUAGUCGAAGGCCGGCAUCUUCGGGAAGGCGCCAUUCGCUGGCGCGGGCGCGGCGACGGCGGCCGCGGAGAGGCUGGAGUUGGCCCGGGCGGGGGCGAGCGCGGCCUGGAGGAGCCUCCGGG
rnacentral:lncRNA from 1 species